rfam:Syntrophothermus lipocalidus DSM 12680, complete genome.
CCUGGUGGCCAUAGCGGAGGGGAAACACCCGUUCCCAUACCGAACACGGAAGUUAAGCCCUCCAGCGCCGAUGGUACUGCUAACGCGGGAGAGUAGGUCGCUGCCAGGA